UGGGGAAUAUUGCACAAUGGGCGAAAGCCUGAUGCAGCAACGCCGCGUGAGUGAUGAAGGUCUUCGGAUUGUAAGCUCUGUCUUUUGGGACGAUAAUGACGGUACCAAAGGAGGAAGCCACGGCUAACUACGUGCCAGCAGCCGCGGUAAUACGUAGGUGGCGAGCGUUGUCCGGAUUUACUGGGCGUAAAGGGUGCGUAGGCGGAUGUUUAAGUGAGAUGUGAAAUACCCGGGCUUAACUUGGGUGCUGCAUUUCAAACUGGAUAUCUAGAGUGCAGGAGAGGAGAAUGGAAUUCCUAGUGUAGCGGUGAAAUGCGUAGAGAUUAGGAAGAACACCAGUGGCGAAGGCGAUUCUCUAGACUGUAACUGACGCUGAGGCACGAAAGCGUGGGUAGCAAACAGGAUUAGAUACCCUGGUAGUCCACGCCGUAAACGAUGAGUACUAGGUGUAGGAGGUAUCGACCCCUUCUGUGCCGCAGUAAACACAUUAAGUACUCCGCCUGGGAAGUACGAUCGCAAGAUUAAAACUCUAAAGUGAAUUG
rnacentral:rRNA from 1 species